rnacentral:rRNA from 1 species
GAUGAACGCUGGCGGCGUGCCUAAUACAUGCAAGUCGAGCGAACAGACGAGGAGCUUGCUCCUCUGACGUUAGCGGCGGACGGGUGAGUAACACGUGGAUAACCUACCUAUAAGACUGGGAUAACUUCGGGAAACCGGAGCUAAUACCGGAUAAUAUAUUGAACCGCAUGGUUCAAUAGUGAAAGACGGUUUUGCUGUCACUUAUAGAUGGAUCCGCGCCGCAUUAGCUAGUUGGUAAGGUAACGGCUUACCAAGGCAACGAUGCGUAGCCGACCUGAGAGGGUGAUCGGCCACACUGGAACUGAGACACGGUCCAGACUCCUAGGAGGCAGCAGUAGGGAAUCUUCCGCAAUGGGCGAAAGCCUGACGGAGCAACGCCGCGUGAGUGAUGAAGGUCUUCGGAUCGUAAAACUCUGUUAUUAGGGAAGAACAAAUGUGUAAGUAACUAUGCACGUCUUGACGGUACCUAAUCAGAAAGCCACGGCUAACUACGUG